CAGUCGCCACGGUAAUACGGAGGGGGCUAGCGUUGUUCGGAAUUACUGGGCGUAAAGCGCACGUAGGCGGCUUUACAAGUCAGAGGUGAAAGCCUGGUGCUCAACACCAGAAUUGCCUUUGAGACUGUAUCGCUUGAACGUCGGAGAGGUGGGUGGAAUUCCGAGUGUAGAGGUGAAAUUCGUAGAUAUUCGGAAGAACACCAGUGGCGAAGGCGGCUCACUGGACGACUGUUGACGCUGAGGUGCGAAAGCGUGGGGAGCAAACAGGAUUAGAUACCCCGGUAGUCCCUGUCUCUUAUAC
rnacentral:rRNA from 1 species